CAAAUUUAAAAACACUUUAAAACAGCAUUUAGCUGCACUUCACCGGUUUUGUUUGCUAUUUUGACUGCACUUAAUCGGUUUUGUUCGUUGCUGAAGUUACGAACUAAAACGUUUCGUAAAGUUAGUUAGUAGCUCAGCUUCGAGGAGAGACUUGAAAGAGUUGAAACAAGUGUACUUCGAGGAUUAAACAUAAUUAUCUGACCUAUUUAUACUGAUACGAUCAAUUGAUCAUGCCAGAAUACAAGUUGAUCUACUUCAAACCCAGAGGACGAGGUGAGAUGAUUCGCUUGACGUUUGCAGCAGGCGGUGUUAAAUAUGAAGACUGUAGACUGACUAGAGAAGAAUUCGAGGAUUUAAAAGCCAGU